rnacentral:rRNA from 1 species
GAUGAACGCUGGCGGCGUGCCUAAUACAUGCAAGUCGAGCGGUAAGGCCUCUUCGGAGGUACACGAGCGGCGGACGGCUGAGUAACGCGUAGGAACGUACCCCAAAGUGAGGGAUAAGCACCAGAAAUGGUGUCUAAUACCGCAUGUGAUCCACGGAUUAAAGCUUCGGCGCUUUGGGAACGGCCUGCGUAAGAUUAGCUAGUUGGUGAGGUAAUGGCUCACCAAGGCGACGAUCUUUAGCUGGUCUGAGAGGAUGAUCAGCCAGACUGGGACUGAGACACGGCCCAGACUCCUACGGGAGGCAGCAGUAGGGAAUUUUCCACAAUGGGGGCAACCCUGAUGGAGCAACGCCGCGUGCAGGAUGAAGGCUUUCGGGUCGUAAACUGCUUUUAUAUGUGACGAAUAUGACGGUAGCAUAUGAAUAAGGAUCGGCUAACUCCGUGCCAGCAGCCGCGGUCAUACGGAGGAUCCAAGCGUUAUCCGGAAUUACUGGGCGUAAAGAGUUGCGUAGGUGGCGAAGUAAGUUGGUAGUGAAAGCGUUCGGCUCAACCGGAUAUACAUUACCAAAACUGCUUUAGCUAGAGGAUGAGAGAGGUUAUUGGAAUUCCCUGUGUAGGAGUGAAAUCCGUAGAUAUAGGGAGGAACACCGAUGGCGUAGGCAGAUAACUGGCUCAUUCCUGACACUAAGGCACGAAAGCGUGGGGAGCAAACGGGAUUAGAUACCCCGGUAGUCCACGCCGUAAACUAUGGAUGCUAGUUGUUAGAGGUAUCGACCCCUCUAGUAACGAAGCUAACGCGUUAAGCAUCCCGCCUGUGGAGUACGGUCGCAAGACUAAAACAUAAAGGAAUUGACAGGGACCCGCACAAGCGGUGGAGCGUGUUGUUUAAUUCGAUGGUAAGCGAAGAACCUUACCCAGGCUUGACAUCCUUGGAAUUUCUCCGAAAGGAGAGAGUGUCUUCGGAAGCCAAGUGACAGAUGAUGCAUGGCCGUCGUCAGCUCGUGUCGUGAGAUGUUAGGUUAAGUCCUUCAACGAGCGCAACCCUUGUGAUUAGUUGAAUUUUUCUAAUCAGACUGCCCUGGCAACAGGGAGGAAGGGGGGGAUGAGGUCAGGUCAGUAUUUCUCUUACGUCUGGGGCUACAAACACGCUACAAUGGCCAGUACAAAGGGCAGCCAAGGCGCGAGCCGGAGCAAAUCCCAUCAAAGCUGGUCUCAGUUCGGAUAGCAGGCUGAAACUCGCCUGCUUGAAGCUGGAAUCGCUAGUAACGGUAGGUCAGCACACUACCGUGAAUACGUUCCCGGGUCU